ACGGAAGGCAGCAGUGGGGAAUAUUGCACAAUGGGGGAAACCCUGAUGCAGCGACGCCGCGUGAGUGAAGAAGUAUUUCGGUAUGUAAACCUUUGUCUUUGGUGAAGAAGAAAGUGACGGUAGCCAAGGAGGAAGCCACGGCUAACUACGUGCCAGCAGCCGCGGUAAUACGUAGGUGGCAAGCGUUAUCCGGAUUUACUGGGUGUAAAGGGAGCGCAGGCGGGACAGCAAGUUGGAUGUGAAAUACCGAGGCUUAACCACGGAGCUGCAUCCAAAACUGUUGUUCUUGAGUGAAGUAGAGGUAGGCGGAAUUCCGAGUGUAGCGGUGAAAUGCGUAGAUAUUCGGAGGAACACCAGUGGCGAAGGCGGCCUACUGGGCUUUAACUGACGCUGAGGCUCGAAAGUGUGGGGAGCAAACAGGAUUAGAUACCCUGGUA
rnacentral:rRNA from 1 species